CAUGCACUAGUGGGGUCCCUCGGCCUGGCCUGCUCCUUCUUGCAAUCCGGGACCCCUUGGGGGAUGUUGGAGAGAUGGUUCUGGUCCAAUUCUGCAGGCCAGGCUGAGGGACCCCACUGGUGCACG
rnacentral:pre_miRNA from 1 species